rnacentral:SRP_RNA from 1 species
GCCAGGCAUGGUGGCGCAUGCCUGUAAUCUCAGCUACUUGGGAGGCUGAGGCAGCAGAAUCACUUGAACCCAGGAGGUGGAGGUUGCAGUGAACUGAGAUCACGCCACUGCACUCCAGCCUGGGUGACAGAGUGAGACUCUGUCUCAA